GACGAACGCUGGCGGCGUGCUUAACACAUGCAAGUCGAACGGAAAGGCCCUGCUUUUGUGGGGUGCUCGAGUGGCGAACGGGUGAGUAACACGUGAGUAACCUGCCCUUGACUUUGGGAUAACUUCAGGAAACUGGGGCUAAUACCGGAUAGGAGCUCCUGCUGCAUGGUGGGGGUUGGAAAGUUUCGGCGGUUGGGGAUGGACUCGCGGCUUAUCAGCUUGUUGGUGGGGUAGUGGCUUACCAGGGCUUUGACGGGUAGCCGGCCUGAGAGGGUGACCGGCCACAUUGGGCCUGCGAGACGCCCCAGACGCGUACGGGAGGCAGCAGUGGGGAAUAUGGCACAGUGGGCGGAAGCCUGAUGCAGCAACGCCGCGUGCGGGAUGACGGCCUUCGGGUGGUAAACCGCUUUCGCCGGUGACGAAGCGUGAGUGACGGUAAUGGGUAAAGAAGCACCGGCUAACUACGUG
rnacentral:rRNA from 1 species